rnacentral:misc_RNA from 1 species
AAAAGUCGUAACAAGGUUUCCGUAGGUGAACCUGCGGAAGGAUCAUUACGAAAUUCGGCGCGCUUCGGCGCUGCCUUAUUCACCCACCCUUUGUCUACGUGUACCUCUAUAGCUUCCUCGGCGGGCUCGCCCGCCGCCAGGAACCCACGAAACCCCUUGCAUUAUACACGAAAACUUCUGAUAACAAACCUAAAUUAUCACAACUUUCAACAAUGGAUCUCUUGGUUCUGG